CUUAUCUAGCUGUGUGUUUUGUCUGCCUGUCCUCGAUAAAGGACAGCGAUGUCACUGUGGAGCCACACCAGUAUACCUACAGGAAAAACCAUUCCACAGACAAUGCCAUGUCAUCAGUAGUUCCUGCAUGUUUCACAAACCUGAAAACACUAGACCUCCCCAUGCUGGAGACGAGCAGCUUUUAAUGCGGGCUCCAGCUUUGGUUACCUUGGUGUACAUCUUUCUGAGGACCUUACAUAGAGCCACAACACUGGACCCCUGGUUAAGACGGUACUGUCUCAGGAGGCUGAUGCACACCAGAUGGUUGGUGGAGAGGAUCCUGUCCUGUCUGGCAUGGUAGCUACUAUGUGGUAGAGAAGAAGGCUAAGUUGAGGGUGGUGACAGCAACAUGAAGGACGUUGGCAGCAGCCUCCCCACCAUCACAGACAUCUACAGCAGCUUCCUGUAUCUUGAAAGAUGCUCCUCACCCAGAAUACACACCUGUCCCCUCCCAUCAAGUAGGAGGCUGUGAAGCAUCAGGAGCAAAACUCGGAUUUUUCCUUGUUUUGUUACUCAUGUUAUUUUGUACUUUGUUUUAUUUUAAGCAAACCACCUUUAGUUUAUUUUUAGUUUCUGAGUCCCGUUGUUUGGGUCCUACUCCAGCCUGCAACACAGCCACGCUCACAAAUAUGAUAUGGACUAAGCAGACUCAUGUUUGGCUUCAGAGGAAAUGUUUGCCCAGCUUCUGGAAUACUGCCAGGGUGUAGUUAAUGCUAAAGACAUUUACAACCUGUUCCCGGACAUUUCCCAACAUGGAAUGUUUGGCACAAACUGUAGCCAAGCUGUGAGCCAACCUCCUUCAUAACCUGUUUGAUAAAUUCUUGAGCUAAAAUGCCCAGCGACUGUAAGUCUGGCCAGGACAUCCCCAGAGACAGGGCUAGAGCCCCCAGUUAACUCUGGCCCCCUGGAGAAUCCAUAGCCAGAACAGCCACAGCCCCUGUCCCAAGGUAAGCUCGCUGGGUUCUCUGCUGAGCCGCCCCAAGCCACAGGUGCGCCUCCUUCGCCAUCACCAUUGCAGGCUGCCAUCCAAGCCACUUGAGGAUCUCCGUCACCAUCAUCAGCCACUGGCCUCCACAGUUACUCCGUCUCUGCUGAUGGCCACUCAGCAAACCUCCAGAGUUUCUCCAUCUCAGCUGUUGGCCUCCUGGCAGACCCCCUGAACUGUGUUGCGAGCAGUCCCUGCCUCUGAACCGAGCCAGUGUUCAAGCUGACUCUGAUCUGCUCUGCCUUCUCUGUUUAGCUCCAUGGGCCAGGCCCCUGGACUGUAUUUCCUGUUUUAUUUGAGCUCAGAGACUCUGUUUGUUUUGAUUUUAUUCCCAGUACACCCCCAAACCAUCAGAGAUGCAACCCUUCGAACUGAGCACUGAUAACAAGAUGGUCCUCU